CCUGGUGGCUAUAGCGCAGGGGCCACACCUCUUACCAUCCCGAACAGAGCCGUUAAGCCCUGCAGCGCUGAUGGUACUGCCUUUGUGGCGGGAGAGUAGGUCGCCGCCAGGU
rnacentral:rRNA from 2 species